CUACGGGCCGCAGCAGUGGGGAAUAUUGCACAAUGGAGGAAACUCUGAUGCAGCAACGCCGCGUGGAGGAUGACACUUUUCGGAGCGUAAACUCCUUUUAUAUAGGAAGAAGAUGACGGUACUAUAUGAAUAAGCGCCGGCUAACUCCGUGCCAGCAGCCGCGGUAAUACGGAGGGCGCAAGCGUUACUCGGAAUCACUGGGCGUAAAGAGCGUGUAGGCGGAUUAAAAAGUCAGAAGUGAAAUCCUAUAGCUUAACUAUAGAACUGCUUCUGAAACUCUUAAUCUAGAAUAUGGGAGAGGUAGAUGGAAUUUCUGGUGUAGGGGUAAAAUCCGUAGAGAUCAGAAGGAAUACCGAUUGCGAAGGCGAUCUACUAGAACAUUAUUGACGCUAAGGCGUGAAAGCGUGGGGAGCAAACAGGAUUAGAUACCCGCGUAGUC
rnacentral:rRNA from 1 species